GCGGACAGUGUCUGGUGGGUAGUUUGACUGGGGCGGUCUCCUCCUAAAGAGUAACGGAGGAGCACGAAGGUUGGCUAAUCCUGGUCGGACAUCAGGAGGUUAGUGCAAUGGCAUAAGCCAGCUUGACUGCGAGCGUGACGGCGCGAGCAGGUGCGAAAGCAGGUCAUAGUGAUCCGGUGGUUCUGAAUGGAAGGGCCAUCGCUCAACGGAUAAAAGGUACUCCGGGGAUAACAGGCUGAUACCGCCCAAGAGUUCAUAUCGACGGCGGUGUUUGGCACCUCGAUGUCGGCUCAUCACAUCCUGGGGCUGAAGUAGGUCCCAAGGGUAUGGCUGUUCGCCAUUUAAAGUGGUACGCGAGCUGGGUUUAGAACGUCGUGAGACAGUUCGGUCCCUAUCUGCCGUGGGCGCUGGAGAACUGAGGGGGGCUGCUCCUAGUACGAGAGGACCGGAGUGGACGCAUCACUGGUGUUCGGGUUGUCAUGCCAAUGGCACUGCCCGGUAGCUAAAUGCGGAAGAGAUAAGUGCUGAAAGCAUCUAAGCACGAAACUUGCCCCGAGAUGAGUUCUCCCUGACUCCCUGAGAGUCCUGAAGGAACGUUGAAGACGACGACGUUGAUAGGCCGGGUGUGUAAGCGCAGCGAUGCGUUGAGCUAACCGGUACUAAUGAACCGUGAGGCUUAACCUUACAACGCCGAAG
rnacentral:rRNA from 1 species